AUUGAACGCUGGCGGCAUGCUUUACACAUGCAAGUCGAACGGCAGCGCGGGCUUCGGCCUGGCGGCGAGUGGCGAACGGGUGAGUAAUAUAUCGGAACGUACCCAGGGGUGGGGGAUAACGUAGCGAAAGUUACGCUAAUACCGCAUACGCUCUAUGGAGGAAAGCAGGGGACCGCAAGGCCUUGCGCGCUUGGAGCGGCCGAUAUCUGAUUAGCUAGUUGGUGGGGUAAAGGCUCACCAAGGCAACGAUCAGUAGCUGGUCUGAGAGGACGACCAGCCACACUGGGACUGAGACACGGCCCAGACUCCUACGGGAGGCAGCAGUGGGGAAUUUUGGACAAUGGGGGCAACCCUGAUCCAGCAAUGCCGCGUGAGUGAAGAAGGCCUUCGGGUUGUAAAGCUCUUUUGUCAGGGAAGAAACGGGAGUGGCUAAUAUCCAUUCUUAAUGACGGUACCUGAAGAAUAAGCACCGGCUAACUACGUGCCAGCCGCCGCAGUAACAC
rnacentral:rRNA from 1 species